rnacentral:rRNA from 1 species
GAACUGUCCAAACGUUGUUCGGAAUCACUGGGCUUAAAGGGCGCGUAGGCGGUCAAACAAGUCAAGGGUGAAAUCCUGCAGCUUAACUGUAGAAGUGCCUUUGAUACUGUUUGUCUGGAGGGAGAUAGGGGUGUGCGGAACUUCCAGUGGAGCGGUGAAAUGCGUUGAUAUUGGAAGGAACGCCGGAGGCGAAAGCGGCGCACUGGAUCUCUUCUGACGCUGAGGCGCGAAAGCUAGGGGAGCAAACGGGAUUAGAUACCCCGGUAGUCCUAGCCCUAAACGAUGGGUACUAGAUUGUAGACUUUCAUGGGUUUACAGUCGAAGCAAAAGUUUUAAGUACCCCGCCUGGGGAGUAUGGUCGCAAGGCUG